rnacentral:misc_RNA from 1 species
AGCGUCAUUAUCAACCAUCAAGCCUGGCUUGUCGUUGGACUCUGGUCGUUAAAAAGACCGGUCCAAAGAUAAUGGACGGGACCUGUCGGCCCUAGAUGCAACGAGCUUCACAGCACGCAUCGAAAAGUCGCCGGCCCCGCCUUUAAACCCCAUUUUCUUAGGUUGACCUCGGAUCAGGUAGGAAUACCCGCUGAACUUAA